CCUACGGGAGGCUGCAGUGGGGAAUAUUGGGCAAUGGGCGCAAGCCUGACCCAGCAAUGCCGCGUGAAGGAAGAAGGCUUUCGGGUUGUAAACUUCUUUUCUCAGGGACGAAGCAAGUGACGGUACCUGAGGAAUAAGCCACGGCUAACUACGUGCCAGCAGCCGCGGUAAUACGUAGGUGGCAAGAGUUAUCCGGAUUUACUGGGUGUAAAGGGCGUGUAGGCGGGAAAGCAAGUCAGAUGUGAAAACCAUGGGCUCAACCUGUGGCCUGCAUUUGAAACUGUUUUUCUUGAGUACUGGAGAGGCAGACGGAAUUCUUAGUGUAGCGGUGAAAUGCGUAGAGAUUAGGAGGAACACCAGUGGCGAAGGCGGUCUGCUGGACAGCAACUGACGCUGAGGCGCGAAAGCGUGGGGAGCAAACAGGAUUAGAUACCCUUGUAGUC
rnacentral:rRNA from 1 species